AUUGAACGCUGGCGGCAGGCCUAACACAUGCAAGUCGGACGGUAGCACAGAGAGCUUGCUCUUGGGUGACGAGUGGCGGACGGGUGAGUAAUGUCUGGGGAUCUGCCCGAUAGAGGGGGAUAACCACUGGAAACGGUGGCUAAUACCGCAUAACGUCGCAAGACCAAAGAGGGGGACCUUCGGGCCUCUCACUAUCGGAUGAACCCAGAUGGGAUUAGCUAGUAGGCGGGGUAAUGGCCCACCGAGGCGACGAUCCCUAGCUGGUCUGAGAGGAUGACCUGCCACACUGGAACUGAGACACGGUCCAGACUCCUACGGGAGGCAGCAGUGGGGAAUAUUGCACAAUGGGCGCAAGCCUGAUGCAGCCAUGCCGCGUGUAUGAAGAAGGCCUUCGGGUUGUAAAGUACUUUCAGCGGGGAGGAAGGCGGUGAGGUUAAUAACCUCGCCGAUUGACGUUACCCGCAGAAGAAGCACCGGCUAACUCCGUGCCAGCAGCCGCGGUAAUAC
rnacentral:rRNA from 1 species